rnacentral:misc_RNA from 1 species
GAAAUGCGAUAAGUAGUGUGAAUUGCAGAAUUCAGUGAAUCAUCGAAUCUUUGAACGCACAUUGCGCCCCUUGGUAUCCCAUGGGGCAUGCCUGUUCGAGCGUCAUUUGUACCCUCAAGCUCUGCUUGGUGUUGGGUGUUUGUCCCCGUCUCCGCGCGUGGACUCGCCCCAAAGUGAUUGGCAGCCGGCGUACUGGUCCCGGAGCGCAGCACAUGUCGCGCAAACGAGUGCCUUGGUACGGCGGCGUCCAUAAGCCCCUCUCUCACGCUCUUGACCUCGGAUCAGGUAGGGAUACCCGCUGAACUUAAGC